GAUGAACACUGGCGGCGUGCCUAAUACAUGCAAGUCGAGCGAACAGACGAGGAGCUUGCUCCUCUGACGUUAGCGGCGGACGGGUGAGUAACACGUGGAUAACCUACCUAUAAGACUGGGAUAACUUCGGGAAACCGGAGCUAAUACCGGAUAAUAUAUUGAACCGCAUGGUUCAAUAGUGAAAGACGGUUUUGCUGUCACUUAUAGAUGGAUCCGCGCCGCAUUAGAUAGUUGGUAAGGUAACGGCUUACCAAGGCAACGAUGCGUAGCCGACCUGAGAGGGUGAUCGGCCACACUGGAACUGAGACACGGUCCAGACUCCUACGGGAGGCAGCAGUAGGGAAUCUUCCGCAAUGGGCGAAAGCCUGACGGAGCAACGCCGCGCGAGUGAUGAAGGUCUUCGGAUCGUAAAACUCUGUUAUUAGGGAAGAACAAAUGUGUAAGUAACUAUGCACGUCUUGACGGUACCUAAUCAGAAAGCCACGGCUAACUACGUG
rnacentral:rRNA from 1 species